rnacentral:rRNA from 1 species
ACGAACGCUGGCGGCGUGCUUAACACAUGCCAGUCGAACGGUGAAGCGCCUUCCUUUUUGGUGGGUGUGGAUGAGUGGCGAACGGGUGAGUAACACGUGAGUAACCUGCCCCCUUCUUCUGGAUAACCGCAUGAAAGUGUGGCUAAUACGGGAUAUUCUGGGUCUGUCGCAUGAUGGGUCUGGGAAAGAUAUUGUUUCGGUGGGGGAUGGGCUCGCGGCCUAUCAGCUUGUUGGUGGGGUGAUGGCCUACCAAGGCGGUGACAGGUAGCCGGCCUGAGAGGGUGGACGGUCACACUGGGACUGAGACACGGCCCAGACUCCUACGGGAGGCAGCAGUGGGGAAUAUUGCACAAUGGGCGCAAGCCUGAUGCAGCGACGCCGCGUGAGGGAUGGAGGCCUUCGGGUUGUGAACCUCUUUCGCCAGUGAAGCAGGCCUGCCUCGUUUGUGGGUGGGUUGACGGUAGCUGGAUAAGAAGCGCCGGCUAACUACGU